rnacentral:rRNA from 1 species
GACGAACCGUGCGAACGUUAUUCGGAAUCAUUGGGCUUAAAGCGCGUGUAGGCGGAUUCGUGCGUCUGUCGUUGAAAUCCCCCGGCUCAACCGGGGAAGUGGCGCGGAUACGACGAGUCUGGAGGGGCAUAGGGGGACCUGGAACUUCCGGUGGAGCGGUGAAAUGCGUUGAGAUCGGAAGGAACGCCCGUGGCGAAAGCGAGGUCCUGGAUGCCUACUGACGCUGAGACGCGAAAGCCAGGGGAGCGAACGGG